rnacentral:rRNA from 1 species
CCUACGGGGGGCAGCAGUGGGGAAUAUUGCACAAUGGGGGGAACCCUGAUGCAGCGACGCCGCGUGAGUGAAGAAGUCAUUCGUGAUGUAAAGCUCUAUCAGCAGGGAAGAAAAUGACGGUACCUGACUAAGAAGCCCCGGCUAACUACGUGCCAGCAGCCGCGGUAAUACGUAGGGGGCAAGCGUUAUCCGGAUUUACUGGGUGUAACGGGAGCGUAGACGGCAGCGCAUGUCCGAAGUGAAAGCCCGGGGCCCAACCCCGGGACUGCUUUGGAAACUGUGAAGCUGGAGUGCGGGAGGGGCAG